rnacentral:rRNA from 1 species
UACAGAGACUGCAAGCGUUAUUCGGAUUCACUGGGCGUAAAGCGCUCGCAGGCGGCUCGAUGCGUCGUGCGUGAAACACCCCGGCUCAACUGGGGAGGGUCGUGCGAUACGGUCGGGCUGGAGGCCAGUAGGGGGAUGCGGAAUUCCGGGUGUAGUGGUGGAAUGCGUAGAGAUCCGGAGGAACACCAGCGGCGAAGGCGGCAUCCUGGACUGGUCCUGACGCUCAGGAGCGAAAGCGUGGGGAGCGAUCCGG